rnacentral:rRNA from 1 species
UACAGAGGUCUCAAGCGUUGUUCGGAUUCAUUGGGCGUAAAGGGUGCGUAGGCGGCGCGGUAAGUCGGGUGUGAAAUCUCGGGGCUUAACUCCGAAACUGCAUUCGAUACUGCCGUGCUUGAGGACUGGAGAGGAGACUGGAAUUCACGGUGUAGCAGUGAAAUGCGUAGAUAUCGUGAGGAAGACCAGUGGCGAAGGCGGGUCUCUGGACAGUUCCUGACACUGAGGCACGAAGGCCAGGGGAGCAAACGGG